UCACACCGGUUUCCGUACGAUCACCGAAGGUAAGCAACAUCAAGCUUGGUCAGUACCAAGAUGGGUGAUCUCUUAGGAAUACCAGGUGCUGUAAG